rnacentral:rRNA from 1 species
GAUGAACGCUGGCGGCGUGCUUAACACAUGCAAGUCGAACGGGAAAUAUUUCAUUGAGACUUCGGUGGAUUUGAUCUAUUUCUAGUGGCGGACGGGUGAGUAACGCGUGGGUAACCUGCCUUAUACAGGGGGAUAACAGUCAGAAAUGGCUGCUAAUACCGCAUAAGCGCACAGAGCUGCAUGGCUCAGUGUGAAAAACUCCGGUGGUAUAAGAUGGACCCGCGUUGGAUUAGCUUGUUGGUGGGGUAACGGCCCACCAAGGCGACGAUCCAUAGCCGGCCUGAGAGGGUGAACGGCCACAUUGGGACUGAGACACGGCCCAGACUCCUACGGGAGGCAGCAGUGGGGAAUAUUGCACAAUGGGGGAAACCCUGAUGCAGCGACGCCGCGUGAAGGAAGAAGUAUCUCGGUAUGUAAACUUCUAUCGGCAGGGAAGAUAGUGACGGUACCUG